rnacentral:piRNA from 1 species
UGAGCUCAUGGACGUGCAUGUCUUCU